GAUGAACGCUGGCGGCGUGCCUAAUACAUGCAAGUCGAGCGAACGGACGAGAAGCUUGCUCCUCUGAUGUUAGCGGCGGACGGGUGAGUAACACGUGGAUAACCUACCUAUAAGACUGGGAUAACUUCGGGAAACCGUAGCUAAUACCGGAUAAUAUUUUGAACCGCAUGGUUCAAAAGUGAAAGACGGUCUUGCUGUCACUUAUAGAUGGAUCCGCGCUGCAUUAGCUAGUUGGUAAGGUAACGGCUUACCAAGGCAACGAUGCAUAGCCGACCUGAGAGGGUGAUAGGCCACACUGGAACUGAGACACGGUCCAGGCUCCUACGGGAGGCAGCAGUAGGGAAUCUUCCGCAAUGGGCGAAAGCCUGACGGAGCAACGCCGCGUGAGUGAUGAAGGUCUUCGGAUCGUAAAACUCUGUUAUUAGGGAAGAACAUAUGUGUAAGUAACUGUGCACAUCUUGACGGUACCUAAUCAGAAAGCCACGGCUAACUACGUG
rnacentral:rRNA from 1 species